UACGGAGGGUGCGAGCGUUAUCCGGAAUUACUGGGUUUAAAGGGUGCGUAGGUGGGCAAGUAAGUCAGUGGUGAAAUCUCCGGGCUUAACCCGGAAACUGCCAUUGAUACUAUUUGUCUUGAAUACUGUGGAGGUCAGCGGAAUAUGUCAUGUAGCGGUGAAAUGCUUAGAUAUGGCAUAGAACACCAAUUGCGAAGGCAGCUGGCUACACAAAUAUUGACACUGAGGCACGAAAGCGUGGGGAUCAAACAGG
rnacentral:rRNA from 1 species